GUAGGGAAUAUUGCGCAAUGGACGAAAGUCUGACGCAGCGACGCCGCGUGAGUGAUGAAGGCCUUAGGGUCGUAAAGCUCUGUUGAAUGGGAAGAAAAAAAUGACGGUACCAUUCGAGGAAGGACCGGCUAACUUCGUGCCAGCAGCCGCGGUAAUACGAGGGGUCCUAGCGUUGUUCGGAAUCAUUGGGCGUAAAGGGUGUGUAGGUGGCCAUGUAAGUCAGGUGUGAAAGCCCCGGGCUCAACCCGGGAAGUGCACUUGAUACUGCGUGGCUUGAGUACCGAAGAGGGUAGUGGAAUUCCAGGUGUAGUGGUGAAAUACGUAGAUAUCUGGAGGAACACCGGUGGCGAAGGCGGCUACCUGGUCGAGUACUGACACUGAGACACGAAAGCAUGGGGAUCAAACAGGAUUAGAAACCCUUGUAGUC
rnacentral:rRNA from 1 species